UACGGAGGAUGCGAGCGUUAUCCGGAUUUAUUGGGUUUAAAGGGUGCGCAGGCGGGAUGUUAAGUCGGCGGUGAAAUUUUGCAGCUCAACUGUAAAAGUGCCAUCGAUACUGGUUUUCUUGAGUGUGGAUGAAGUAGGCGGAAUUUGUGGUGUAGCGGUGAAAUGCAUAGAUAUCACGAGGAACUCCGAUUGCGCAGGCAGCUUACUAAACUACUACUGACGCUCAGGCACGAAGGCGUGGGGAUCAAACAGGAUUAGAUA
rnacentral:rRNA from 1 species